rnacentral:rRNA from 1 species
UACGUAGGGUGCGAGCGUUAAUCGGAAUUACUGGGCGUAAAGCGUGCGCAGGCGGUUCGUUGUGUCGGCGGUGAAAGCCCCGGGCUCAACCUGGGAAUGGCCGUUGAAACUGGCGAACUGGAGUGUGGCAGAGGGGGGUGGAAUUCCGCGUGUAGCAGUGAAAUGCGUAGAGAUGCGGAGGAACACCGAUGGCGAAGGCAGCCCCCUGGGCUGACACUGACGCUCAGGCACGAAAGCGUGGGGAGCAAACAGGAUUGAGAUACC